UACGGAGGUAGAGCACUGAAUGUCCUAGGGGGUAUUGCACCUACCGAAGACUAUCAAACUCCGAAUGCCGUCAUCUUAUACUUGGGAGUCAGACUGUGGGUGAUAAGAUUCAUAGUCGAAAGGGCAACAGCCCAGAUCGUCAGCUAAGGUCCCUAAAUGUAAGUUAAGUGGUAAAGGAUGUGGGAUUGCACAGACAACCAGGAUGUUGGCUUAGAAGCAGCCACUCAUUCAAAGAGUGCGUAAUAGCUCACUGGUCGAGUGAUCCUGCGCCGAAGAUUUCCGGGGCUAAAACUUACUACCGAAGCUACGGCAUCAUUAUGAUGGGUAGGGGAGCUUCCCAUACGGGUUGAAGCAUGACCGUAAGGACAUGUGGACAGUAUGGGAGUGAGAAUGUUGGCAUGAGUAGCGAGAUGUGGGUG
rnacentral:rRNA from 1 species